GGAAAAUAAAAGACUCACAUGAAGCGAGGAGAACUAGAAUCCCCACAAACACUACAUUAGAUUUCAUGGUUUUCUUUAUGCUCAAAUUAUUUGAUCCUAAGAUGCUUUGAUUUGUCGUUCUUUGAUGAUAUAUUAUUCUUUUGUAUGCUUUUAUAUAUAUGAAUCCAAGGGACUCCACAUUUUUGGGAAAUUUUUUGGGGAUAAUUAUUUUCUUCAUUUAGCUAAUAAAAUCUCUUUUAUAUGUUAGUAACAAUAAUUUAAGGAAUUUUUUGUUCUCAUAUGAUUUAUUCAAAUAAUUUGACCGAGUGAUUUGAUUUACUACAAUUGUUUUGACCGCAAAAAAAAACGUUGACUACAUUUCGCAAAGUAACAUUUGUAUUUUAUUUUACGAAACAAUUUUGGCCGCACAAGAGUUUGACACAUAAACAAAUUUAGUUUUAAUUUUCUUGGUCAGCUUCUCAUAACACAAAACAAUUACGUGUCACUCUUGCAUAGAUACGGUUUAGUUUUAUUGUAUUGAUAUCCUAAGACUAUGUGCAAUGCUAAAUUUAUUCAACACCUUUCUUUUCACUUUUUAACCUUUCACAUUAGUUUCUCUUUCUUCCACAUAAUAAUUCAACAUCCACCUAAAUUCCUAAUAUUUAAACACUACAAUGGUUUUGUUUAAAUAAUUUCAACAUUCUACCCACUAUUUUUAUUUCAUAUAUAUUUUUAUUUUUUAUUACAUAUUAAUAAUAAUUGUCGAUAAAAUUAAUUAAAAUAUCAACAAAAAUUAAAAUAAAUUAAUGAAGGUGACAUAAUUCAAUAAUUAUUUUAUGUUAUUAUUAAAAAAAUUAUUUUUUUCGUAGGAUUAAUGUUAGAAUCCAUUUCACAAAAACAAAAAUUAAAGAUAUAAACAAGAGUUUAUUAGAGGAUAAUUGUAACACCCCGGUUUCAGGAAUAUGGUGAUGCAUGAAGAGAGAUUUUAAAAAAUUAAUUUGGCCACGUAUGUCACCAAAGUGCACUUAUCUUUUUGGUCAACUGUCCUGAAAGAACUCCUGGGUUAAGCAUGCUUGAGCUGGAGCAAUUUUAUGAUGGAUGACCUUUCGUGAAGUGAUGGUCGGAACUGUGUGAGUGAAGACCAAACAGAGAGAAAUGUGGUAAUUUGUAUGAUCGGUAAAAUUGACAUUAAAGCAUCCCAGAUGUUGCGGAGAGACUGUCGGUUAGGAUGGACCCGACAGAGGACGUGGGUGCUAAUUUGUAGGAACGGUCAGGGUGUUACAAUAAAAUAAAUUUUGAUAGAAAUUAUGUUUUUCUUAUGUGUCUAAAUGAAAUGUACCAAGUCUCUAUUUAUAGAGCAUAAAAAAUUAUGACUUUUCAUAUAAAUUUUUUUUUAAAAAAAAUUGUUUGCUAUAUAAUAAUUAACGUUAAAUAGAGUAGUUGAGAUAAAAAUCUCUAAUAUCUCAAUCGCCAAUAAUAAUUCAGCAAAUAUCAUUGUGUAAAUGAAAAAGAAAUAAAAAAGUGUAGAAGCUUCACUUGCAAAGUCCACGUGCGAAACGCACCUCCCAUUCAGGUAAUGACAUGUAGUACGUAUGUGCUCAAAAAAAAAAAGUUUCAACUAGUUGAAUAAAUUCAACAUCUGUGAAUCCAUGUUAGUUUUUCUUUAUUUUCAAUACCCAUUGCACUAAUUCAAAAGUUGAAUUUGUUUUUUCAACACAUGCAUUGCAAAUAGUUUUAGAUACAAUAGCCGUAACUUAAUUGGACGUCACUUGGUCACUUAAAGAAUAUAAAUGAAUUGGAAUUUGGCUGUAGAAGAUUAAUUGUACUGGUGGUUAAUUAAUGAAGCGAAUAAUAAAAUCAAUAUUUUGUCUACCGUGAGUUAAACUGGUCAUCUACGAUAAUGAGGUCUCGUGUAUGUGUAACAGACGAGAUUUUAAAUGCAUUUACGGGCGACUCGGAUUUAGAAAUAAAGUAAAAAGAAUAAAUGUAUUCAUUUUUCAAAACAAGACCAUGGAUGCGCAAAGCUACAAAUGGAACCACACUCUACAGUGAUGAUCAAGCAGCCACUCACGUAGCUUCGAACCCGCUUUUUUACGAGAAUAUAAAGGACAUCAAAAAUCGGAUCCGUGAAAAAAAAUGUUACAUAUAUCAAAUAUAAUUUUAUAUAUCAAGAAAAGACCAAGGUCGUGAUAGUCAAAACGAUAAUUAAUAAUGGUUUUAUUUGCUUCUCUCCUUUUUUCUAUUAUUUAUUUCUUAUCAUGAUACAUUUAAAAUUUUAUGAACAUAUGCAUUUGCCAUUAAUACAUGUAAAGCCCAACUUUCUCUUAACGAAAGUACAGUAAAUAAAACAAUAUUGAACACUUGAACAAUUCUCACUCCACCAAGCAUUAAUACCCUCUGACAUAUUAUCGGUUAAUUCCCCCAAACUCCUCACUGCUUCCACCUUCUUCAUCUCCUCUCCCCACAAUAUACCUAAUAUUUUUGUAAGUAAACAACAAAUUUCAACAAAAAAUUAAUUCUAACAAAAUAAAUACUAACUUAAUUAUAAAUAAUUUUACUAUAUGUAUGGAAAAUAAAAGACUCACAUGAAGCGAGGAGAACUAGAAUCCCCACAAACACUACAUUAGAUUUCAUGGUUUUCUUUAUGCUCAAAUCAUUUGAUCCUAAGAUGCUUUGAUUUGUCGUUCUUUGAUGAUAUAUUAUUCUUUUGUAUGCAUUUAUAUAUAUGAAUCCAAGGGACUCCACAUUUUUGGGAAAUUUUUUGGGGAUAAUUAUUUUCUUCAUUUAGCUAAUAAAAUCUCUUUUAUAUGUUAGUAACAAUAAUUUAAGGAAAUUUUUUGUUCUCAUAUGAUUUAUUCAAAUAAUUUGACCGAGUGAUUUGAUUUACUACAAUUGUUUUGACCGAAAAAAAAAUGUUGACUAUAUUUCGCAAAAUAACAUUUGUAUUUUAUUUUACGAAACAAUUUUGGCCGCACACGAGUUUGACACAUAAACAAAUUUAGUUUUAAUUUUCUUGGUCAGCUUCUCAUAACACAAAACAAUUACGUGUCACUCUUGCAUAGAUACAGUUUAGUUUUAUUUUAUUGAUAUCCUAAGACUAUGUGCAAUGCUAAAUUUAUUCAACACCUUUCUUUUCACUUUUUAAUAUUUCACAUUAGUUUCUCUUUCUUCCACAUAAUAAUUCAACAUCCACCUAAUCAGGGCCGGCCCAGACCUAAAGUCCAGCAAGCAGAUGUUUUAGGCAUCAAAUCUUAUAUGUAUUUUAAAGGGCAUCAAAAUAUUAAAAGUGUUUUGUAAUCUAGUGGUAUUUGGGACCUCUAAAGGUAGACGGUCGUGGGUUCAAUCCCUGAAGAUUUUAACAUUUUUUUUAUUUUUAGUUGUUGUAAAUGGGCAUCAAAUUUUGUUGGGCUUUAGGCAUCACGAAUCUUUGGGCCGUCCCUGCACCUAAUAUUUUAAACACUACAAUGGUUUUGUUUAAAUAAUUUCAACAUUCUACCCACUAUUUUUAUUUCAUAUAUAUUUUUUAUAUAUUUUUAUUUUUUUAUUACAUAUUAAUAAUAAUUCUCGAUAAAAUUAAUUAAAAUAUCAACAAAAAUUAAAAUAAAUUAAUAAAAGUGACAUAAUUCAAUAAUUAUUUUAUGUUAUUAUUAAAAAAAUUAUUUUGCGUAGGAUUAAUGUUAGAAUCCAUUUCACAAAAACAAAAAUUAAAGAUAUAAACAAGAGUUUAUUAGAGGAUAAUUGUAACACCCCGGUUUCAGGAAUAUGGUGAUGCAUGAAGAGAGAUUUUAAAAAAUUAAUUUGGCCACGUAUGUCACCAAAGUGCACUUAUCUUUUUGGUCAACUGUCCUGAAAGAACUCCUGGGUUAAGCGUGAUUGAGCUGGAGCAAUUUUAUGAUGGAUGACCUUUCGUGAAGUGAUGGUUGGAACUGUGUGAGUGAAGAUCAAACAGAGAGAAAUGUGGUAAUUUGUAUGAUCGGUAAAAUUGACAUUAAAGCAUCCCAGAUGUUGCGGAGAGACUGUCGGUUAGGAUGGACCCGACAGAGGACGUGGGUGCUAAUUUGUAGAAACGGUCAGGGUGUUACAAUAAAAUAAAUUUUGAUAGAAAUUAUGUUUUUCUUAUGUGUCUAAAUGAAAUGUAACAAGUCUCUAUUUAUAGAGCUUAAAAAAUUAUGACUUUUCAUAUAAAUUUUUUUUAAAAAAAAUUGUUUGCUAUAUAAUAAUUAACGUUAAAUAGAGAAGUUGAGAUAAAAAUCUCUAAUAUCUCAAUCGCCAAUAAUAAUUCAGCAAAUAUCAUUGUGUAAAUGAAAAAGAAAUAAAAAAGUGUAGAAGCUUCACUUGCAAAGUCCACGUGCGAAACGCACCUCCCAUUCAGGUAAUGACAUGUAGUACGUAUUUGCUCAAAAAAAAAAAGUUUCAACUAGUUGAAUAAAUUCAACAUCUGUGAAUCCAUGUUAGUUUUUCUUUAUUUUCAAUACCCAUUGCACUAAUUCAACAGUUUAAUUUCUUUUUUCAACACAUGCAUUGCAAAUAGUUUUAGAUACAAUAGCCGUAACUUAAUUGGACGUCACUUGGUCACUUACAGAAUAUAAAUGAAUUGGACUUUGGUUGUAAAAGAUUAAUUGUUCAGGUGGUUAAUUAAUGAAGCGAAUAAUAAAAUCAAUAUUUCAUCUACCGUGAGUUAAACUGGUCAUCUACGGUAAUGAGGUCUCGUGUGUGUGGAACAGACAAGAUUUUAAAUGCAUUUACGGGCGACUCGGAUUUAGAAAUAAAGUAAAAAGAAUAAAUGUAUUCAUUUUUCAAAACAGGACCAUGGAUGCGCAAAGCUACAAAUGGAACCACACUCUACUGUGAUGAUCAAGCAGCCACUCACGUAGCUUCGAACCCGCUUUUUACGAGAAUAUAAAGCACAACAAAAAUCGGAUCCGUGAACAAAAAAUGUUACAUAUAUCAAAUAUAGUUUUAUAUAUUGAGAAAAGACCAAUGUCGUGAUAGUCAAAACGAUAAUUAAGAAUGGUUUCAUUUGCUUCUCUCCUUUUUUCUAUUAUUUAUUUCUUAUCGUGAUACAUUUAAAAUUUUAUGAACAUAUGCAUUUGCCAUUAAUACAUGUAAAGACUAACUUUCUCUUAACGAAAGUACAGUAAAUAAAACAAUAUUGAACACUUGAAAAUUCUCACUCCACCAAGCAUUAAUACCCUCUGACAUAUGAUCGAUUAAUUCCUCAAAACUCCUCACUGCUUCCACCUUCUUUAUCUCCUCUCCCCACAGUAUACCUAAUAUUUUUGUAAGUAAACAACAAAUUCCUACAAAAAAUUAAUUCUAACAAAACAAAUACGAACUUAAUUAUAAAUAUUUAUACUAUAUGUAUGGAAAAUAAAAGACUCACAUGAAGCGAGGAGAAAUAGAAUCCCCAUAAACAUUACAUUAGAUUUCAUGGUUUUCUUUAUGCUCAAAUUAUUUGAUCCUAAGAUGCUUUGAUUUGUCGUACUUUGAUGAUAUAUUAUUCUUUUGUAUGCUUUUAUAUAUAUGAAUCCAAGGGACUCCACAUUUUUGGGAAUUUUUUCGGGGAUAAUUAUUUUCUUCAUUUAGCUAAUAAAAUCUCUUUUGUAUGUUAGUAACAAUAAUUUAAGGAAAUUUUUUGUCUCAUAUGAUUUAUUCAAAUAAUUUGACCGAGUGAUUUGAUUUACUACAAUUGUUUUGACCGCGAAAAAAACGUUGAAUACAUUUCGCAAAGUAACAUUUGUAUUUUAUUUUACGAAACAAUUUUGGCCGCACAAGAGUUUGACACAUAAACAAAUUUAGUUUUAAUUUUCUUGGUCAGCUUCUCAUAACACAAAACAUUUACGUGUCACUCUUGCAUAGAUACGGUUUAGUUUUAUUGUAUUGAUACCCUAAGACUAUGUGCAAUGCUAAAUUUAUUCAAUACCUUUCUUUUCACUUUUUAACACUUCACAUUAGUUUCUCUUUCUUCCACAUAAUAAUUCCACAUCCACCUAAUAUUUAAACACUACAAUGGUUUUGUUUAAAUAAUUUCAACAUUCU
rnacentral:lncRNA from 1 species